GCAUUUAAUAAUAAUGCUAAAAAAGUUCGUCAAAAAAUAUUGCGUAAAAAACAUUUAGAAGCCAAUAUUUUAAAUAUGCUUAUUACCAAAGAUCACAAAAAUAUCAUUCAACCAAGAGAGCAUAAACCAAUCUUUAAUUCAAUUUUAAUUAAUAAAAAAUAUGAAAAAUGCAUUGAAUCAAAAGAGAAUGAUCACAUUGCACCAAGCGUUUUAAGUAUGCUUAAAGACGUCUAUGUAGACGUAGAAUACCUUACUGAAUACAGUGAUUAUAAUACAAGUGCUCAUAAAUUGCCAGAACCGCACACAAAUAAAAAGAUAUCAAAUUUAAUAUUCAAGCUUCUAAUAUUAAACCAUUAGACAUAAUGCAUAAAUUUAAAAACAAUAAUGAUUCAACAUCAAAUAAUACAUCACAAAAUGAACCAAUUAAUCUUAAACCUUGUGAUGAAAAAUAUGACAAUUUUAAUAAAAACAAAAUAAGUAAGUAAUUCUUUUUAAAAUAACUAAAAUAUAUACUGUAUUCAGGAAUCAGGUUAAUAAACAUAAUUGGUGACUGGCUUGUGCAUAGAGAAAGGGGAGAGCAUAGAUUUACUGCAUAGCAGGCAUUCAGAUAUUAAACUUGUUUAGACUAACAGAUUUGCUUUGCCUUACAGUGGAAGACAAAACUUGUUACUGUGCAUGUUGAUUUUUAUAAUCUUAUAUAAGAGUAUAUUUUUAGAUUAAGACAUAUUUAAUUUGGUCUUGUGAAUUUAGUGGUCUUAUUGGUUCCAAAUAAGUAAGAUUUAAAUUAAAACUUAAAAAUACAGAAUUUUACUAUUCAUAUUUCAGAACUUAAUUCAUCUAAAUUUAAUAUAAAAAAUGUCUCUAAUAUUUUUGUUGCGAAUUUGGGAGAAAUUAAAUUAUGGAUUCGGUAAAAUGUAUACCUAUAUAAUGUUUCUUAAAAGACACCACAAUUUGGUAAAAAUGAUUAUUCAACGAGAUAAUGAAAGUUGAUGAAUAGCCACGUGACGUUAUAGAUCCGACUAGUGAUCAGUCGCCCUGUUUUACGUGUAAAAGUAGUUUGAUUUACACAAUGAUUUUUAUUACUUACGAUAGUAUUUCAGAAUUUUUUUUUUUGUUAUCCUUAGUAUAUUUAUGUGCUUAAAACGAUUGUGUGACUUAAAAUUUAAUAUAUUUUGUUAUUGUAAACAUAUCAAGUAAAAUUAA